rnacentral:antisense_RNA from 1 species
CUUCAGCGAUCCGAGCCACAACGGCCGCCCGGCGGGCCGGUCCUGACCGUAGGCAGCCAGCAGGGCCUGUGCUUC